UAGGGAAUCUUCGGCAAUGGGGGGAACCCUGACCGAGCAACGCCGCGUGAGUGAAGAAGGUUUUCGGAUCGUAAAGCUCUGUUGUUAAGGAAGAACGAGUGUGAGAAUGGAAAGUUCAUGCUGUGACGGUACUUAACCAGAAAGGGACGGCUAACUACGUGCCAGCAGCCGCGGUAAUACGUAGGUACCGAGCGUUGUCCGGAUUUAUUGGGCGUAAAGCGAGCGCAGGCGGUCAAUUAAGUCUGAUGUGAAAGCCCCCGGCUCAACCGGGAGGGGUCAUUGGAAACUGGUUGACUUGAGUGCAGAAGAGGAGAGUGUAAUUCCGUGUGUAUCGGUGAAAUGCGUAUAUAUAUGGAGGAACACCAGUGGCGAAGGCGACUCUCUGGUCUGUAACUGACGCGGAGGCUCGAAAGCGUGGGUAGCAAACAGG
rnacentral:rRNA from 1 species